rnacentral:rRNA from 1 species
AAACUCAAAGGAAUUGACGGGGGCCCGCACAAGCGGCGGAGCAUGUGGCUUAAUUCGAGGCAACGCGAAGAACCUUACCCGGGCUGAACUACGUGGGAAAAGCUGUAGAGAUACGGUGUCCGAAAGGGUCCACGAUAGGCGGUGCAUGGCUGUCGUCAGCUCGUGUCGUGAGAUGUUGGGUUAAGNCCCGCAACGAGCGCAACCCUUGUCCUAUGUUGCCAGCGGGUAAUGCCGGGGACUCGUAGGAGACUGCCGGGGUCAACUCGGAGGAAGGUGGGGAUGACGUCAAGUCAUCAUGCCCCUUACGUCCAGGGCUGCACACAUGCUACAAUGGCCGGUACAAAGGGCUGCUAUCCCGCGAGGGUGAGCGAAUCCCAAAAAGCCGGUCUCAGUUCGGAUCGCAGUCUGCAACUCGACUGCGUGAAGUCGGAGUCGCUAGUAAUCCCGGAUCAGCAACGCCGGGGUGAAUACGUUCCCGGGCCUUGUACACACCGCCCGUCACACCACGAAAGUCGGCAACACCCGAAGCCGGUGGCCCAANNNNNAGGAGGGAGCCGUCGAAGGUGGGGUCGGUGAUUNNNNNNNNGUCGUAACAA